UCGAACGCGAAAGGCCCCUUCGGGGGCCGAGUAGAGUGGCGCACGGGUGAGUAACACGUAGGUAAUUUGCCUUCGGGUGGGGAAUAACAGCCGGAAACGGCUGCUAAUACCGCAUAAUGCAGCGGCUCGACAUCGAGACAGUUGUUAAAGCGGGGGAUCGCAAGACCUCGCGCCUGAAGAGAAGCCUGCGGCAGAUUAGCUAGUUGGUAGGGUAAUGGCCUACCAAGGCGACGAUCUGUAACCGGCCUGAGAGGGCGGUCGGUCACACUGACACUGACAUACGGGUCAGACUCCUACGGGAGGCAGCAGUCGGGAAUUUUGGGCAAUGGGCGAAAGCCUGACCCAGCAACGCCGCGUGAAGGAUGAAAUCCCUCGGGAUGUAAACUUCGCAAGAAUGGGAAGAAUAAGUAGAAGAUAAUACCUUCUAUGAUGACGGUACCAUUUGUAAGCUCCGGCUAACUCCGUGCCAGCAGCCGCGGUAAUACGGGGGGAGCAAGCGUUGUUCGGAUUUACUGGGCGUAAAGGGCGCGUAGGCGGCCACGACAAGUCACUUGUGAAAUCUCCGGGCUUAACUCGGAACGGUCAAGUGAUACUGUCGGGCUAGAGUGCAGAAGGGGCAACUGGAAUUCUCGGUGUAGCGGUGAAAUGCGUAGAUAUCGAGAGGAACACCUGCGGCGAAGGCGGGUUGCUGGGCUGACACUGACGCUGAGGCGCGAAAGCCAGGGGAGCGAACGGGAUUAGAUACCCCGGUAGUCCUGGCCUUAAACGAUGAAUGCUUGGUGUCUCG
rnacentral:rRNA from 1 species